CGGGCAGGUGACCCGAGGCCGGCGGGGACAGCCGGGCAGGUCUGGAUGGGUCCACGGAACAGCUAUAGCCAUGAGGCGACCAGCGUCCAUGACAAAGCCAGCACUAAAGAUCACCGAGCAGAAAUGGGAAGAACCGGGAUCCUUGGUGACAGAUGGCACUGCUGCAGCCUGCCCUGCCUGAACUUCUUGUCAUGUGCAAUUAUAGAUUUCCUUAUUGUGUAAGCUA